AUUGAACGCUGGCGGCAGGCUUAACACAUGCAAGUCGAGCGGAGAUGAGGUGCUUGCACCUUAUCUUAGCGGCGGACGGGUGAGUAAUGCUUAGGAAUCUGCCUAUUAGUGGGGGACAACAUUCCGAAAGGAAUGCUAAUACCGCAUACGCCCUACGGGGGAAAGCAGGGGAUCUUCGGACCUUGCGCUAAUAGAUGAGCCUAAGUCGGAUUAGCUAGUUGGUGGGGUAAAGGCCUACCAAGGCGACGAUCUGUAGCGGGUCUGAGAGGAUGAUCCGCCACACUGGGACUGAGACACGGCCCAGACUCCUACGGGAGGUAGCAGUGGGGAAUAUUGGACAAUGGGCGGAAGCCUGAUCCAGCCAUGCCGCGUGUGUGAAGAAGGCCUUUUGGUUGUAAAGCACUUUAAGCGAGGAGGAGGCUACCUGGAUUAAUACUCUAGGAUAGUGGACGUUACUCGCAGAAUAAGCACCGGCUAACUCUGUGCCAGCCGCCGCUGUAAGAC
rnacentral:rRNA from 1 species